UGAGCAAUCUGCCCUUCUCUUCGGAAUAAGCGUUGGAAACGACGUCUAAUGCCGAAUACGACCUCCUUUCGCAUGAUCGGAGUGGAAAGCUCCGGCGGAGAAGGAUGAGCUCGCGGCCUAUCAGCUUGUUGGUGAGGUAACGGCUCACCAAGGCAUCGACGGUANCUGGUCUGAGAGGAUGAUCAGCCACACGUGGACUGACGACACGGCCCAGACCUACCGG
rnacentral:rRNA from 1 species